rnacentral:rRNA from 1 species
CCUACGGGUGGCAGCAGUGGGGAAUAUUGCUCAAUGGAGGAAACCCUGAAGCAGCAACGCCGCGUGAAGGAUGACGGCCUUCGGGUUUUUAACCUCUUUUUAUAUGGAAGUAAAUGACUGUACGUAACGAAUAAUCUCCGUCUAACUUCGUGCCAGCAGCCGCGGUAAUACGGAGGGGGCAAGCGUUAUUCGGAAUUACUGGGCGUAAAGGGGGCGUAGGCGGGAUAGCAAGUCAGAUGUGAAAUCCUAUGGCUUAACCAUAGAACUGCAUUUGAAACUGUUAUUCUAGAGUACAGGAGAGGUAGGUGGAAGUCGUGGUGUAGGGGUGAAAUGCGUAGAGAUCACGAGGAAUACUCAUUGCGAAGGCGGCCUGCUAGA